UACAGAGGUCUCAAGCGUUGUUCGGAUUCAUUGGGCGUAAAGGGUGCGUAGGCGGCGCGGUAAGUCGGGUGUGAAAUCUCGGGGCUUAACUCCGAAACUGCAUUCGAUACUGCCGUGCUUGAGGACUGGAGAGGAGACUGGAAUUUACGGUGUAGCGGUGAAAUGCGUAGAUAUCGUAAGGAAGACCAGUGGCGAAGGCGGGUCUCUGGGCAGUAACUGACGCUGAGGAGCGAAAGCGUGGGGAGCGAACAGG
rnacentral:rRNA from 1 species